UACGUAGGUGGCAAGCGUUGUCCGGAUUUACUGGGCGUAAAGGGCGUGCAGGCGGUUUGUUAAGUCUAGGGCGAAAGCUCCCGGCUCAACUGGGAGAGGUCCUUGGAUACUGGCGAACUUGAGGGAUGCAGAGGAAAGUGGAAUUCCCGGUGUAGUGGUGAUAUGCGUAGAUAUCGGGAGGAACACCAGUGGCGAAGGCGGCUUUCUGGGCAUUUCCUGACGCUGAGACGCGAAAGCGUGGGGAGCGAACCGG
rnacentral:rRNA from 1 species